GGUGAAAGGCCAAUCAAACUUGGAGAUAGCUCGUACUCCCCGAAAUAUAUUUAGGUAUAGCGUCUGGUAUUGUCUGUCCGGAGGUAGAGCACUGAUAGGGCUAGGGGGCUUCACCGCCUACCAACCCCUGACAAACUCCGAAUGCCGGCACAGAGCCACCAGGCAGUCAGUCGUGGGGUGAUAACGUCCUACGGCGAGAGGGGAACAACCCAGACCACCAGCUAAGGCCCCUAAAUAAUGGCUAAGUUGAUCAAAGAAAGUUGAGUUGCUCAGACAACUAGGAGGUUGGCUUAGAAGCAGC
rnacentral:rRNA from 1 species